GGAAGGCUGAAAUAGGUGAAGGUGAAAGUGAUGAUCAACAGAGAACAGAGAAGCGUACCCAUUAAAUAAAAAUGAAUUAGGAAAAAAAAGGUGAAAAAUCAUGAUGUCACCUACAUCUCCACAAACUGAAUAGUCCUCCGGUACUACAGUAUAAAAUGUUAUAUAUAUACAUAUUCAUCUAUUGAAGAAGGAAUGUGGAAAUCUUCUGGAUGACUAGUAAUGUAUAUAGAAGCCAACAUUAAGAAGGUAAAGAAGAAAGGCCUUUUCCUGCUAGCUUGAAAAUCUGGGCAAAGCAAAGAGUACUACUGGAUCUUAUAGGAAACUGGAUUCUUUACCAUCAAAUCCUAAAGUUGUAGGAGACAAGCACUCUGUUUUAUGAGGAGACUGAGGCACAGACAAAAAGGUAUCAAAAUCUAUUUAAGUAGUCCAUUACAAGGGUUUCACCCCUACAAGAGAACAUUGAGAUUACCAUUUCAUUGACUGAAGUUAAAAGAGAAGUAUCCACAGUCUGACAUCAAAACAUGAGCACAAAGCUGAUCCUUUUCAGAGUUAUGCUACCUCCAUGAAUAUUAUGGGAAAGGUAGCUUCAGCUCUCUACUGCUUAAGGGGAGUUAAGUGCCUGAGCAGAUGAAAGAAUGGAAUAACUUAGCCCAGGUAUCCAGAUGGUGGACAGCCAAUUUAAGAAAGGGAAAGACGCUGCACAGUCAAUGAAGAGUGAGGAAGAAAAACACAUGGAAGAGACAACAGUGGAGUGAGUGGAUAUUGCCUAGAGGAAGCUGCAGCCCGUGGAGGUCCCAUGCUGGAACAGAGGAAAACGUAAAGAAUGAGCAGCAGAGACAGUGCCAUGCACUGACCACAGAUCUUAUUCUUCAACCACCCUGCACUGCUCAGAUAAGGAGGAGAUAGAGAAGUCCAGAAUGAAGGAAUUAAGUUAAUCCUGGAAAAGGGAGAUGUAGGCAGACAGGCAAAAAAAGUUGCUCCUGUUUCUCACUAUUGACAUCUGUUUUAUUGCCAAUAAAUUUAUUUUCCCCAAGUUGAGUCUGUUUUGUCUGUGACAGUAAUUUGACUGAGACAGAGUUGGAUGCAGUAAUGGCUUCAAGCUGUGCCAGGGAAGGUUCAGGCUGGAUGUUAGGAAAUACUACUUCUCUGAAAGGGUGGUCAGGCACUGGAAUGGGCUGCCCAGGGAGGUGGUGGAGUCACCAACCCUGGAGGUGUUCAAAGAACGUUUGGAUGUUGUGUUGAAGGACGUGGUUUAGCGAGAACCAUUGGUGAUGGGUGAAUGGUUGGACUGGAUGAUCCUGUGGGUCUUUUCCAACCUUAGCGAUUCUAUGAUUCUAUGAUUCUACUCCAGAUGGAGUCUCAUGAGGGCAGAACAGAGGAGAAUCAUUUCCCUACAUAUGCUAGUUGCACUGUUUUUGAUGCAGCCCAAAUUGGCUUACUAUGUUGCGAGAGCAUAUUGUUGGCUUGUACCAAGUUUCUCAUUCCCAAUUCCUCCUCAGUUCAUUUUCCUGCCUGUAUCUAUGUUUGGGAUUGCCCUGACCCAGCUGGAGAGCUGUUCAUGUCAGGCUGUGGUGACCAUACCAUUGCCUGGGCCAAGACCAGCAGUCUCUUGUGGGGUGCAGAAGCAAACUUUGUCGAGCCAGCAACCUACACUAUGGGAGUGGAACGGGCACAUUUUUUCCCAGGGUGCUUGUGGGGCCACAUGGUGCACCUGUCCAUGCUGAAUGCUGAUGCUGAAUCUAAACACAGAAAGUAGCAAGGGUGCAUGGUCAGCUGGAACACCCAUAUCUCCACAGGCAGUUUUAUGCUUGGGGUUUUGCGUGUUGGGCAGAGGGGUAACUCACUUGGCUAGAGAUUGCAAGUAAGUGGGUGUGUGUGUAUGACUGUAGCCUUCUGGGAUUGGUUAUGUAAGUCAAAGGUGUUUAACAAACUAUAGAUAUUUACUGGCAUUUUGUAUAUGUGAAGUACUGGUUAUUAAUAUUGGUCUGAAUUUACAGUUCACUGCCAGUUAAUUACAUGUCACCAAUAUAUAAAUGAAUCAAUCUUGAUUAGAUUUAAACUCAGUGAACUGAGCAGUAUUUCACAGCAAGAGCUUACUAGUAUUCUUUUUUAAUAAAGCGUAUGUCUUGAUCUGUAAAAUGUUAUAGCUGGCAAACUGAAAAAAUAUAAACUGCACUUAAUUGUAAAGUAUUUUCCCAAAGUUUCUUUGCACAUCUUUUAUUUUUAGUAAAUGUGUCUACUAAGUUGGUAUUUGUCUGCCUAAAAAAUAAGUGUUUACUGACAGACUUCGAUGUUAUAUUAGUUGACUUAGUUCUGUUAUAGUCAGUGGAAUCUAAUCAAUACAGUCAACAGUUACUACAUUUCUAAAAAGAAAAUCAUCUGACUAGCUGCUGGAUAUCUGAUUAUAUAGCAUACUAACAUUAUUUGAAAUUUGAGAUCUGUGGUCUCUCGACUGUCUUUAAGCUGUGAUUCCAUAAAGACUUGUUCUUAGGCUCUAUGCUUAUGCCUUGAUUAUGCUAGUGCAUUUUGAGAAUAUGUUUGUCUUCCACAAACUGAGUGAAGCUAUAGUUAUUUAUUUUAAAGGGAGAUAAUUUUUUUGUUAGCUAAGCAUCUACUGAUAUUAUUGGACUUCUGGAUAUUCAGAGCAUAUGUAGAUACUUAAAUACAGACACCUAAAAUUCCUUAAUUGAAAUUGUGACUAAAUCCCACCUUUUAUAGCAAGCACUUUCCAAUCUUAACCAAUGACCAUUUUGGAAUCUGUGAAAAUUUCAAAUUUGCAAUGUCUUCUAGGGGCUCUUGACUAACUUGAUACUCAAACAAAAAAUAAUCUUUGUUACUCUGCUGUAGUAUGAGGAUGCCUGUUAUUAACCAGUUGCAAUUCUCGCCAAUUUUGCAUUUCUGCUUGCAGAUUGGAGUACUUUAACCGAAGGGAAGGAGAUAAGUUGUAUUCUAGCCUUGCCUUCCAUUAGAGAACACUGAUAACUGUCAGUCCAUAUCUCUUCAAACUAAGAAGAUUUUUCAUCCCAAGUUCUGUAAUCAGAAGUCUACUUUACAAUAUGGAGCAGAUAUUUCCCCAUGGAGAAUAGCAUUUACAGGGAUAGCAUUUACGUAGCUAACAUUAGAGACUCCUUCUGUUCCUAUUCAUUCCAUUUGUAUUUGCAUGUUCUCACUUUUGAUUCGGCAUCCUGUGCAUCUCACUCCAAUUAUUUCUUCAGGUUUCUAGUUCUGCACUGCAAAAUGCACUUCCAGAACUCAAUGUUUAUUUUUAAGAUAAGGUAGUGUUAUAGUACCAACAUUUCUUUGACAGUUUGGCUCUUCGCUUUUUUGGGCUAGAUUCUGCUUGGUGUAGAUGUUUCAGCAAAUAAAGCUACUUGAUAAUAAGACCUUUUUCUUUAUAUCUGGAAUGGAGAAAUCAAUUUCUAAUUCCAAAGAUAACUUAGGAGAAUGUUGCAGUGCUCUGAAAAUUAGAACAUUGCUGGAACGAAACCAUGUAAAUGUUCUUCUGAAAAUGUAAGCUAUGAUUUUUUUAUGGAUGAAUGUGGAUGCUUUCUUUUUGUGGAAUGUGUGAAUGUGGAUACUUUUUAUAAUCCAUUUCAGGUUGCUAUAUUUCAUUUUAUUUAUUUAUUUAUUUAUUUAUUUAUUUAUUUAUUGUAGUGGUGGUUUUUAGUGUUCUAUUUAUUAGUGUUUUUAUUUUGCUUUUUAUUUUCCUGAGUGUAAAAAAUGUUUCAGAGCAUAACUGAAUUUUCAUAAGCCAAAACAGAAGGGUUUCUAGAUAAAUAUGAAUUUUUUUGUUUUGUUUUGUUUUUCUUAAACUCUGUUAAAUGCAUCACUGGAAUUUGUCUUCUUGUUUGUUUGUUUGUUUGUUUUUAAUUGUAGGGAAGGUAAAUCACUGUCAUUUGUUAACCAUAAGUCAAACUGGUUUGAUACACUUUUUCGAAGAGAUUCAUUUUCACUCAGAAACUAUAUCUUUGUUGCUUUGCGGAAUGCAUUUCAAACAAGUAUUGUUCUUACCAAAUAAAUAACAUUUCAUGAAAUCACAAAAUAUGCCUUAAACAGUGUAACGGUUUUAAAGCAUUUUAGUUAGCUAUUUGGCAAAUCAACAGAUGUAGAGUAUCACUGAGCAUGCAUGAUUUAUCUCCUGACAAUAGUGACUGUACUUUUAAGAGCAUAUAACACUGUCUUGUAUUAGCGCUUUAAUACACUAUUGAUUGUAAUCAUAAAACAGUUUGUAAAAAUAUUAAACACAAAAUUCUCAAAACGAUUAUGUACCCAUUUUUUUCUUACUAUCAAAUUUAUGAUGUGAUCCAUUGUUACUAGCAACACGUACAAAACUUCAAAAGAGGCAUUAAUAUCAGAUUUACUUACGUAGAAUAGAAAAGAUUACAUUAAUUACUUACAUAUUCAGAUCACAGCAUAAUAUUUCCUUUCACAUGAGAGCAAGAAGCACAUCAGACACUUCACAAAUGCUUCAAACAAACAUUUCCUGGAACUACUAGGAUCUCUAGGUAUUAGGAAGACAUUCUUUCCUAUGAGGGCGGUGAAGCACUGAAACAAGUUGCACAGAGAAGCUGUGGAUGCCUCAUCUCUGAAAGAGUUCAAGGUCAGGUUGGAUGAAAUACUGAG
ensembl:lncRNA